CAGCAGCCGCGGGAAUACGGAGGGUGCAAGCGUUAAUCGGAAUUACUGGGCGUAAAGCGCACGCAGGCGGUCUGACAAGUCAGAUGUGAAACCCCCGGGCUUAACCUGGGAACUGCAUUUGAAACUGUCAGGCUGGAGUCUUGUAGAGGGGGGUGGAAUUCCAGGUGUAGCGGUGAAAUGCGUAGAGAUCUGGAGGAAUACCGGUGGCGAAGGCGGCCCCCUGGACAAAGACUGACGCUCAGGUGCGAAAGCGUGGGGAGCAAACAGGAUUAGAUACCCGAGUAGUCCCUGUCUCUUAUAC
rnacentral:rRNA from 1 species